ACAGUACAGACUGAGCAGGCGAUGGACCGGAUGCGGUUCGUGGGGCCGGGCCACAAGAUGAGUGGCAACAGAUUGCAUUUUAUGCACAUCUGUGGGACAGU
rnacentral:ncRNA from 1 species